rnacentral:rRNA from 1 species
CAUAUGCUUGUCUCAGAGAUUAAGCCAUGCAUGUCUAAGUACAUACCUUAAAACGGUGAAACCGCGAAUGGCUCAUUAAAUCAGCUAUGGUUCCUUAGAUCGUACACGCUACAUGGAUAACUGUAGUAAUUCUAGAGCUAAUACAUGCCACUAUGCCCUGACCCGCAAGGGAAUGGGUGGAUUUAUUAGAACAGAACCAACCGGGGAUGGUUUCGGCUGUCCCUGUUGUACUCUGUGAUGACUCUGGAUAACUUUACUGAUCGCAGUCGGCCUUGUGUCGGCGACGGAUCUUUCAAAUGUCUGCCCUAUCAAUUUGAUGGUAGGUGAUCUGCCUACCAGGAUAAUAACGGGUAACGGGGAAUCAGGGUUCGAUUCCGGAGAGGGAGCCUGAGAAACGGCUACCACAUCCAAGGAUGGCAGCAGGCGCGAAAAUUACCCACUCCCGGCACGGGGAGGUAGUGACGAAAAAUACGGAUACGGGACUCAAACGAGGCUCCGUAAUUCGAAUGAGUACAAUUUAAAUCCUUUAACGAGGACCAAUUGGAGGGCAAGUCUGGUGCCAGCAGCCGCGGUAACUCCAGCUCCAAAAGCGUAUAUUAAAGUUGCUGCAGUUAAAAAGCUCGUAGUUGGAUCUGGGUUGUGCGUUCACGCGCCUUGACUUGUUUGCUAGAUUUGGUUAUAACCGGGCUGGUAUUCAAGUUGGUGUAGUGGGCGUGCUGCCUUUCAGCCGUGUCUGUGCAAACGGGUGCUGACUGGGUUGAUGAGCUUGUCUUGUUAACCUGUUGGCAUGCUUCUAGAUGCCCUUUACCGGGUGUCGGGAGCGGACGGCAUCUUUACUUUGAACAAAUUUGAGUGCUCAAAGCAGGCCUGUGGGCCUGAAAAUUCUUGCAUGGAAUAAUGGAAUAGGACUUCGGUUCUAUUUUGUUGGUUUUCGGAUCCGAAGUAAUGGUUAAGAGGGACAGACGGGGGCAUUUGUAUGGCGGUGUGAGAGGUGAAAUUCUGGGAUCGCCGCCAGACAAACUACAGCGAAAGCAUUUGCCAAGAAUGUUUUCAUUGAUCAGGAGCGAAAGUCAGAGUUUCGAAGACGAUCAGAUACCGUCGUAGUUCUGACCAUAAACGAUGCCAACUGACGAUCCGCGGCGGCACUUAUAUUGGCUCCGCGGGCAGUCCCCGGGAAACCUUUAAGUCUUUGGGCUCCGGGGGAAGUAUGGUUGCAAAGCUGAAACUUAAAGGAAUUGACGGAAGGGCACCACCAGGAGUGGAGCCUGCGGCCUAAUUCGACUCAACACGGGAAAACUCACCCGGCCCGGACACUGUGAGGAUUGACAGAUUGAAAGCUCUUUCUUGAUUCGGUGGUUGGUGGUGCAUGGCCGUUCUUAGUUGGUGGAGCGAUUUGUCUGGUUAAUUCCGAUAACGAACGAGACUUUGACCUACUAAAUAGUACGCUCGUCCUCUGUGCGCGUAUAGACUGCGGCUUGCAUUGCUUGUCAAAGUGAUGUGGUCGUGGGUCAGCGUGUACGGUGCGGGUGUUUACUUCUUAGAGGGACAAGCGGCGUUCAACCAGUCGCACGAAAUUGAGCAAUAACAGGUCUGUGAUGCCCUUAGAUGUCCGGGGCCGCACGUGCGCUACAAUGACGGUGCCAGCGAGUCUGGAAACCUUACCCGAAAGGGUUGGGUAAACUGUUUCAUCACCGUCGUGACUGGGAUCGGGGCUUGCAAUUAUUCCCCGUGAACGAGGAAUUCCUGGUAAGUGCAAGUCAUAAGCUUGCGCUGAUUACGUCCCUGCCCUUUGUACACACCGCCCGUCGCUACUACCGAUUGAAUGGUCCAGUGAAAUCGUUGGAUCGGUGCCAUUGACGCGGCUUCGGCUGCUCGACUGGCGCUGAGAAGAUGAUUUAAUUUGAUCAUUUAGAGGAAGUAAAAGUCGUAACAAGGUUUCCGUAGGUGAACCUGCGGAAGGAUCAUUACGAGCCCCUAUUAUAAUAAUUGUAUGCUCAAUGCAUGCAUAUAAAUUUGUAUAUAUAUAAACGCCACCGCCCUGGCGUAAUUAAUAUCCGUGAAUGCGGAAAUAAUUAAAUACGCUUUUGUGUAUGGAAUUGACGGAAUCUGGCCGUGCCUAUGGUACGGUACAGCCUACCCGUAUCUGUUGCAUUUAUGGGCUUCGGUUCAUUUGGUGACGUGAUACUAAGUAGGCUUUAUAGACCGGGGCACCUCACUGUCAAAUGCUCUGAUGGUAUUCUUUUGAUUUUCGGAUCAAUUGUUUUGCCAGGGGCGACAGAAAGUGCAUAGCUUUAGGGUUAUGUGCAAGGUUCAAUGAAGGGUGCGGAUUAUUAUUCGCAUUCUCCCCCCGGUAUGUUUCAUUACGGUAGUAUUAUUCUGCCAUUUUUACACUGUUUAAGCGAUCUGAAUCAGCUGGUCUGGUUCGGAAAGCUGCCAUAGCAUGCACCUGGUUGUUAAUCAACUGGACUGCAUGGACGUUCGCCUGGCGGUGCUCUAUCCCGGGCUAGAACGGUAACCCUAGUUUCUGUGCAUUCGGGUAACCGAGUGUAUAGAACAUACAACUCUGAGCGGUGGAUCACUCGGCUCGUGUGUCGAUGAAGAGUGCAGCCAACUGUGUGAAUUAAUGUGACCUGCAUACUGCUUUGAACAUCGACCUCUUGAACGCAUAUUGCGGCCGCAGGAUAUCCUGUGGCCACGCCUGGCCGAGGGUCGGCUUAUAAUCUAUCACGACGCACAAUAAGUCGUGGCUUGGAUGUGUGCCAGCUGGCGUGAUUUCCCGCUUGUUUAAAGUGGGGUGCCGGAUCUAUGGCUCCUUCCUAAUGUGUCCAGCUACACCCAAGUCCAAUGAUGAUAAAUGAUGGACAGGGUUGUGGUGAUGGAUAAUGCUCAGGUCGUGGCUUAAUGAGAUUUUGAUAAAUGUUCACGCCUGAUGUCAUUUUCUGUCAUUUCACCCAUGUUCGGACUGGUUCUGUAACUGAUGAUCAUAUUUAUUGCCCUGACCUCGGAUCAGACGUGAAUACCCGCUGAACUUAAGCAUAUCACUAAGCGGAGGAAAAGAAACUAACCAGGAUUCCCCUAGUAACUGCGAGUGAAGAGGGAUUAGCCCAGCACCGAAGCCUGUGGUCAUUUGACUGCUAGGCAAUGUGGUGUUUAGGUAGGUUCUUGGCAUUACUGCUCCACCCUAAGUCCAGCAAUGAGUACGGCUUACUGGAUUGGCCCAUUGAGGGUGAAAGGCCCGUGUGGGUGGAGACUCAGACUGUCAGUUUUGCCCUGAAUUAACCUUGGAGUCGGGUUGUUUGUGAAUGCAGCCCAAAGUGGGUGGUAAACUCCAUCCAAGGCUAAAUACUGGCACGAGUCCGAUAGCGAACAAGUACCGUGAGGGAAAGUUGAAAAGUACUUUGAAGAGAGAGUAAACAGUUCGUGAACCCGCUCAGAGGUAAACGGGUGGAGUUGAACUGGAAGCCCUGUGGAUUCAGCUGAUGAGUAUGGCAUGAGCUUGGGCAUAUUGGUCGGCUUUCAGAGUCCGCUUAGCUGCGGGUCCUUGCCCUAACGGGUUUGGAUGUGCGUUACGCUUAUUAGGCGUUGUGCGCUCUGUUUGUUCCGGGCCUGCUCGUCAGUGCACUUCCUCAGGGUGUUCACCACGACCGACGCUGCUGUCUGUCUGUUGCGGUCAAACCGGUUAGGCUUAGUCAUUUUGGCUAGGUUUGAUCGGGAUGGCAGGUGGCUCUUGAGAUUUUCUGGCUUCGGCUGGUUUAGCUCUUGAGUGUAAUUAGCCGACUGUAAUGGAUCUGUGCGGUGCGUCGGAGCUGGCGGCUUUGGUGUGUGUACGCGUGCUGUAGCUUACUGGCUUGGUCAAGUUUGGUUUAUGUGUUACCUGCUUCGGUGGGGCUGUAAAUGGCUUGACUUUGCAUGGUGGGUGGUGGCGCGUGCGACGCUAGCUAGGGCCAAAAGUCUGUGGUGUUGUGGUAAACUAUCCACCCGACCCGUCUUGAAACACGGACCAAGGAGUUUAACAUGUACGCGAGUCAUUGGGCGUUACGAAACCCAAAGGCGUAGUGAAAGUAAAGGUUCGGCUUGUCCGAGCUGAGGUGAGAUCCUGCUGUUUCUCUGCCUUGGACUACCAAGCAUUCGAGCAGUGGGCGCAUCACCGGCCCGUCUCAUGAUGUAGUCAUAUGACCUUUGGUUGUGUGCACCUUCGGGGCGGAGCUAGAGCGUACACGUUGAGACCCGAAAGAUGGUGAACUAUGCCUGCGCAGGUUGAAGCCAGAGGAAACUCUGGUGGAGGACCGCAGCGAUUCUGACGCGCAAAUCGAUCGUCUAACGUGGGUAUAGGGGCGAAAGACUAAUCGAACCAUCUAGUAGCUGGUUCCCUCCGAAGUUUCCCUCAGGAUAGCUGGCAUUCUGAUAAUUAAACAGUUUUAUCCGGUAAAGCGAAUGAUUAGAGAUAUUGGGGAGAAAUCAUCCUCAACCUAUUCUCAAACUUUAAAUGGGUGAGAAGCUUUGCUCGCUUAAUUGGAGUGAAGCGUUGAAUGUGAGUGCCAAGUGGGCCAUUUUUGGUAAGCAGAACUGGCGCUGUGGGAUGAACCAAACGUUCGGAUAAGGUGCCUAACUCAACGCUCAUGAGAUACCACAAAAGGUGUUGGUUGGUCCAGACAGCAGGACGGUGGCCAUGGAAGUCGGAAACCGCUAAGGAGUGUGUAACAACUCACCUGCCGAAUCAACCAGCCCUGAAAAUGGAUGGCGCUGGAGCGUUGGACCUAUACCGGACCGUCGCUGCAAGCUGAGCUAGUCAUGUGUGGGCAGAGGGCAACCACACUUAGUUCAGGCAUGGAGUUGUGGCGAUGAGUAGGAGGGUCGCUGUGGUGAGCGG